UAGCUCAAACCUUUCAUCUCUGCUCCAUUUUUUGUUGCAGAGGACAUGAGAUGGAAGAAACUGAGAUAGCCCAGGAGAGUUCGCCUGCCAGUGACCACCACGAACGUACUUGUCAAUCAUUACUUGAAGCCGAAAUGAAUAGCAAAAGGCAGAUUUUCGCUUUAUCUACGUUUUUUCUAUCGAAAACGCAGAUAGUGAUCAUGCACGAAUAUCACCUAAAUGCUAUUCUUUCGUGGCAUAUCAUGCACGAAUAUCACCUAAAUGCUACUCUUCCAUGGCAUACGUUAUUAGACAGAUAAUCUAUCUUUGAUCUUCCUAUGGAAUACGAGAUGAGAAGGCUGAUAAGUAAAUGACGUCGGAUAUGGUGACCGAUUAUGAGAAGAUUAACAUCAGUUACAUUGUUGAAGAGAAUUUCAACAAAAGGCAGUACGCUUAUUGUGGAGAACAAUGAGCUUUGUAUUAGAAACUAAAUUUUACCUCUCUAUUUUUCCUCCCCUGAGUAGUUCAUAGCUGUUGCACCUUAAUUAUCAUAACAACAUCGACCAGUCCAACAAUGUAUUAUAAUGAGUGUCUUAUUUCUUGUGGGGAUGCUUAUGAAAGCAAACUAGUAUCUCAUGGAGAGUUCUCAGCUCAAGGACAAAGUCAUAUGAAGACCUGUUCUCAGCUCAAGAAUAUGCAUUAGAAAAAGCGACACAACCUUGAAGUGUGAAGAUUAAUUAUAUUUCUAGUUCUCCCUGUUAGCAUUAUCUUAUGUUCUCAUUCAUCUUUUUUGUAAUGAAAUUCUAUGACGGUAUCUCUCACUGUACUUUUUCAUUCUUUUGGCCUAGAAUUUGUAAUGCCAGUUGAUGAUGUAUUUCAAGGAAGCUGAGAAGAGCAUAAAAGGAAAUAUGAUUUUUGCUGCUGAA